rnacentral:lncRNA from 1 species
UUCAGGGUUAACACCGUGACUGGGGUGCUCAGCCUACAGGAGGAGGUGUGAUUUAAACAAGGAACCUUUAGACUGAAAGGUGACGGACCCAACCAGGACAUGACCUGCCAUCAGUAAUAAUGUUGCAGCUAAUAGGAAAUUAUGUGCUGAACAAGACGUAUGUAUUCCUAUUCCAGGAAAAGAGCAAGUGAUAUGGCUUCAGCGGCUGUCCUUUUACUUUUCUUGUUGGGAGUUCAUAUAAACCAGCGCUUUUUCACCUGUGCCUUUUCUCAUGCCAUCAUCACACCAAAGAGCAACGGGAGAGAAGCGAACCCAGGACAACGCCUCUCUCCAUCCAACAAAAUGACACCAUUGUGGCUUCCUGGUACUGUAGCUGAGGUACCGUGGGGUCCAGGAGACAUGAGGGCAUACAAAGACGGCGGCACUGGCCUCUCCCGCUGCCGUCACCGAAAUCCCGUCAGCAGCUGCUUUGUAGCCCCGGUUGCAUUAGUCAAUGCCAGCCUUGAAGUCCCCCCAGCGCCAUCCAGGGAUUCCCGGGAAACAGCUGGGCCCCUGGCGGAGAAAAGCGACGGCUCUCGAACCUUAAUAAAUGAGACUGUCUUUGGGAACAAUGGCUCCUCAGAUGCACAGAACGUGACAAUUUUCCGCCAUUUGCAUCGCC